rnacentral:sRNA from 1 species
UGAACAUAACUGAAAAAUGUGUUCAUGAGCUUAAUCCCAGAACAGAUAUAGCACAGGGAGUGACAGUGCAAACUUCUCCAGAUGGUCCAAACCACUGUGCCUCAACACUAUCCUGGGGAGACCAUUUCUAGAUGUGAGAUGAUAGCCCACAUUCCAUACCCACUCUCUGACCUUUCUAUU